UGGCUUAGUUGGUAGAGCAUGGUGUUUGCAACGCCAGGGUUGUGGGUUUGAUUCCCAC
rfam:Salmo salar isolate Sally breed double haploid chromosome ssa10, whole genome shotgun sequence.